rnacentral:rRNA from 1 species
GGGGGGGGGGGGGGGGGGGGCGGGGAGGGGGGGGGCGAGGGGAGGGGGGGGGGGGUUGCGCCUCGGACGUGAGCGGCGGGCGGGGGAGUAACACGGGGAGAACCUCCCUAUAAGACUGGGAUAACUUCGGGAAACCGGCGCUAAUACCGGAUAAUAUAUUGAACCGCAGGGUUCCAUAGUGACAGACGGUGUUGCUGUACCUUAUAGCUGUAUCCGAGCCGCAUUAGCUAGUUGGAAAGUUAACGGCUUACUAAGGCAACGAUGCUUAGCCGACCUGAGAGGGUGAUCGGACACACUGGAACUGAGACACGGUCCAGACUACUACGGGAGGCAGCAGUCGGGAAUCUUCCGCAAUGGGCGAAAGCCUGACGGAGCAACGCCGCGUGAGUGAUGAAGGUCUUCGGAUCGUAAAACUCUGUUAUUAGGGAAGAACAAAUGUGUAAGUAACUAUGCACGUCUUGACGGUACCUAAUCAGAAAGCCACGGCUAACUACGUG